GUUGAAGAUGACUCACUACCACCAUGUCCAACCUCCAAUUUGAAGGAAAAUGGAAAGGGGAAAGUUGAACCAACAGUACCUUUAUGAAGGCAUGGCCUGAAAAUGGAAGAUUAUCACUUCUCUUUGCAUCACACUGGCAGAUCAGUGUGGAAAUGGAUGUGGACGCGGUGCUGCUGCCUGAGAUUAGCAGGAAGCAAUUCUUUUCCCAUUUGGAGAGACCCCGAUAUUACCUAUAUUGCCUUGAUCUGCUGUCUGAAGGCUUUGUUGGGCCAGGAGAUGGUUUUGCAGCAGCAGAAGACUAUGAACUGGGCUUUGGGAGAUAGGAUCUCUGGUUGUAUUCUGGCUAUCCACACUCUGAAAGAGGACCGUGACAGAGAAUUUGAGUAUCCUACCAAUAUACCUACAAAAGGAUGAAAGAAGAUUUGGAGUCAAGGGAAAACAAGGGCAAUAAAAUAGAAGCUUACCACCUGCUCUCAUACAGUUGCUAGAAGAGGACUGCAUAUUUGGUUCUAAGUUUCUGGAAGAUAAAGCCAAAAUAGAAACACAACUCAUUAUAAAAUUUUGGUGUAUCCAUAAAAUAAAAACAAAUGACCUGUUUGAGAAAACUCUUUCUGAGUUUGAGCUCUAAAAGGAACUUCUCUAUGGAAUCCUUAGAAUAUGAGAAGGCUGUGAUAUAGGGGAGAAACCCCUUGACAUUCCUAUAUUGGGUUUAGGUCUAAUUUCACUCAGUAGUUUUUAAAUGUUACUCCUUGUAGACAGAUGAUGAGACGCCAAAGUACAGCUGAGUGAAAGCGGUUCCUUUGAAAACUAA
rnacentral:lncRNA from 1 species